rnacentral:lncRNA from 1 species
GCCGCCGAGCCGUCUCAGCCAGCCGCAGGUGAAGAUGACAACAGGAAAUUUCUCAUCGUCAGCGGUUUGCUGAUGCUCCUGCUCGUGUGUGCCAUCAUCUACGUUCUUGUGAGCCGAU